UAUCGUUGGUCACGAUCCCACUGCUGUCCUUCAAGAGGCUGAUAACGUUCCCAUGUCUUUAGACAAUGGUGGCCGGACUAAUGGUUCCCCUUGUAUCCAGAUGGCCCUUGAUUUUUGCCUCCAAAAGAUCACUUGUUGACGUGCUAGUGUGUGAUGAUUGGAUAGGUUCAACUAAAGUGCUGACAUAUCUCCAUUGGAUAGGCCACCUUGUCUCUCUUCCUUUAGUUGCAGAUCAAGAGUGGAGGCUUCGUCUUCUUCCAUUCUCCUAAAAAUGUUCCCCAC
rnacentral:lncRNA from 1 species